AUUGAACGCUGGCGGCAGGCCUAACACAUGCAAGUCGAGCGGAUGAAGGGAGCUUGCUCCUGGAUUCAGCGGCGGACGGGUGAGUAAUGCCUAGGAAUCUGCCUGGUAGUGGGGGAUAACGUCCGGAAACGGGCGCUAAUACCGCAUACGUCCUGAGGGAGAAAGGGGGGGAUCUUCGGACCUCACGCUAUCAGAUGAGCCUAGGUCGGAUUAGCUAGUUUGUGGGGUAAAGGCCUACCAAGGCGACGAUCCGUAACUGGUCUGAGAGGAUGAUCAGUCACACUGGAACUGAGACACGGUCCAGACUCCUACGGGAGGCAGCAGUGGGGAAUAUUGGACAAAGGGCGAAAGCCUGAUCCAGCCAUGCCGCGUGUGUGAAGAAGGUCUUCGGAUUGUAAAGCACUUUAAGUUGGGAGGAAGGGCAGUAAGUUAAUACCUUGCUGUUUUGACGUUACCAACAGAAUAAGCACCGGCUAACUUCGUG
rnacentral:rRNA from 1 species